GUGGGGAAUUUUGGACAAUGGGCGCAAGCCUGAUCCAGCAAUGCCGCGUGCAGGAAGAAGGCCUUCGGGUUGUAAACUGCUUUUGUACGGAACGAAACGGUCCGGGUUAAUACCCUGGGCUAAUGACGGUACCGUAAGAAUAAGCACCGGCUAACUACGUGCCAGCAGCCGCGGUAAUACGUAGGGUGCAAGCGUUAAUCGGAAUUACUGGGCGUAAAGCGUGCGCAGGCGGUUUUGUAAGACAGGCGUGAAAUCCCCGGGCUAAAACUGGGAAUUGCGCUUGUGACUGCAAGGCUGGAGUGCGGCAGAGGGGGAUGGAAUUCCGCGUGUAGCAGUGAAAUGCGUAGAUAUGCGGAGGAACACCGAUGGCGAAGGCAAUCCCCUGGGCCUGCACUGACGCUCAUGCACGAAAGCGUGGGGAGCGAACAGGAUUAGAAACCCGGGUAGUCC
rnacentral:rRNA from 1 species